rnacentral:tRNA from 15 species
GAGAACGUGGUGUAACUGGAUAACAUCUCAGAUUACGAAACUGAAGAUUGAGAGUUCAAGUCUCUCCGUUCUCGCCU